rnacentral:rRNA from 1 species
UGGGGAAUUUUGGACAAUGGGGGCAACCCUGAUCCAGCCAUCCCGCGUGUGCGAUGAAGGCCUUCGGGUUGUAAAGCACUUUUUGGCAGGGGAGAAACAGCCUGGGAUAAUACCCCGGGCGACUGACGGUACCUGCAGAAUAAGCACCGGCUAACUACGUGCCAGCAGCCGCGGUAAUACGUAGGGUGCAAGCGUUAAUCGGAAUUACUGGGCGUAAAGCGUGCGCAGGCGGUUUCGGAAAGAAAGGUGUGAAAUCCCAGGGCUUAACCUUGGAACUGCACUUUUAACUACCGAGCUAGAGUACGUCAGAGGGGGGCUAGAAUUCCACGUGUAGCAGUGAAAUGCGUAGAGAUGUGGAGGAAUACCGAUGGCGAAGGCAGCCCCCUGGGAUGAUACUGACGCUCAUGCACGAAAGCGUGGGGAGCAAACAGGAUUAGAUACCCUGGUAGUCCACGCCCUAAACGAUGUCAACUAGCUGUU